GCGCACAUGGUGGAACGGUAGACACGCUACCUUGAGGGGGUAGUGGGCUUAAACGCCCGUGGAGGUUCAAAUCCUCUUGUGCGCA
rnacentral:tRNA from 2 species